rnacentral:rRNA from 1 species
ACUCCUACGGGAGGCAGCAGUGGGGAAUAUUGGACAAUGGGGGAAACCCUGAUCCAGCAAUGCCGCGUGUGUGAAGAAGGCCUGAGGGUUGUAAAGCACUUUCAACUGUGAGGAUUGGGAUUUUGGUUAAUACCCGAGAUCCUUGACGUUAGCAGUAGAAGAAGCACCGGCUAACUCCGUGCCAGCAGCCGCGGUAAUACGGAGGGUGCAAGCGUUAAUCGGAAUUACUGGGCGUAAAGCGCGUGUAGGUGGCUUGUUAAGCCAGAUGUGAAAGCCCCGGGCUCAACCUGGGAACUGCAUUUGGAACUGGCAGGCUAGAGUUUUGUAGAGGGUGGUAGAAUUUCAGGUGUAGCGGUGAAAUGCGUAGAGAUCUGAAGGAAUACCGGUGGCGAAGGCGACCACCUGGCCAAUAACUGACACUGAGACGCGAAGGCGUGGGUAGCAAACGGGAUUAGAUACCCUGGUAGCUACGAGU